AAGGGUCUAGCUCAGCGGUAGAGUGCAUGCCUAGCAUGCGUGAGGUCCUGGGUUCAAUCCCCAGUACCUCCA
rfam:Camelus ferus unplaced genomic scaffold scaffold755, whole genome shotgun sequence.